AUAGGACCCCAGAAGGUUGCCAGAUAGCUCCGAGGCGACACGGGUGAGAGGCGCGUGUCUCCCCUCCUGCUCAACACCAGGGAUCAGCUGUGUGUUGCUGGGAGGACAACACAACAACAACAACGUACUUCGUUGUUCAAGAUUCGCUACUCAGAACAAUAAGUUCCAGUAGCACGGGCUAUAGUGAGCCCCUAGGAAAGAGAACGUACUUCCAUUGGCGCUCGUUUUUAUACUUACACAAGGCUAAUACUCUGGUAGCACAGGAGAGACGAAGACAGUAAGAUUGUUGCUAUGGCUGGCCCAACACGUCAGCAAGUUCUCCAACUUUAUAGAGCACUGCUUACUUAUGGCAGGACAUUGGAAUUCACUGAUCAAGAAUACUUCCAUAGACGAAUCAGGCAAGAAUUCCAACAAAACAAAGAAAUUACCUCUGCUAAAGAAAGGGCAUUCUAUUUUGAAAAAGGUUUAAGUUUUCUUACAAAGCAACGGCUUAUUUAGGCUUCUUUAUUCUGUCUAUAUAUUUACUGUACAGUAAUAUACUCAUACUGCAUUUUAAAACUAAAAAUAUAAAUUCUGGGUUAUGAUUUGGAAACCUGAACUAGUGUGAAAAGAUCAAAGUAAAGUGAUGAAAUA